AAAAGUUACUAAGGGCGCAUGGCGGAUGCCUUGGCUCUCAUAGGCGAUGAAGGACGUGAUUACCUGCGAAAAGCUUCGGGAAGGUGGAAAUAACCGUUAAUCCGAAGAUAUCCGAAUGAGGAAACUCUAUACCAUGAAGUGGUAUAAUCCUUCGUAAGAAGGAAGCAAACCCGGGGAACUGAAACAUCUAAGUACCUGGAGGAAAAGAAAACAAACUAGUGAUACCCUAAGUAGUGGCGAGCGAACAGGGAACAGCCCAAACCAAAACGGUCAAGGCCAUUUUGGGGUUGUAGGACUGCAACGUAAAUGCAAAAGCAAAGCUGAAGCUUCUGGAAAGUAGCAUCAUAGAGGGUGAUAAUCCCGUAAGCGUAAACAAUUGCAUUUUAGCAGUAUCCUGAGUACUGCGGGGUCGGAGACGCCCUGCAGGAAACUGCCGGCACCAUCCGGUAAGGCUAAACACUCAUGAGAGACCGAUAGUGAACCAGUACCGUGAGGGAAAGGUGAAAAGAACCUCGAACAGAGGAGUGAAAUAGAACCUGAAACCAUGCGCUUGCAAGCGGUUGGAGUCCCGGCUUGCCGGGAUGACAGCGUGCCUUUUGCAUAAUGAGCCUACGAGUUACUCCUUUCUGGCAAGGAUAAGUUCUUCAAGAACGCAUCCGAAGCGAAAGCAUGUCUGAAUAGGGCAUCAAGUCAGAAGGGGUAGACGCGAAACUUUGUGAUCUACCCAUGACCAGGUUGAAACUCCGAUAAAACGGGGUGGAGGACCGAACUGGUGAGCGUUGAAAAGCUCUCGGAUGAGUUGUGGGUAGGGGUGAAAGGCUAAUCAAACUGAGAAAUAGCUCGUACUCCCCGAAAUGUUUUUAGGAACAGCCUCAGGAUAAUUGUCAUAGAGGUAGAGCUACUGAUUGGGCUAGGGUCCUUCACCGGAUACCAAACCCAGACAAACUCCGAAUGCUAUCGACAUAAUUCCUGGGAGUGAGCCCAUGGGUGCUAAGGUCCGUGGGCGAGAGGGAAACAACCCAGAUUAUCAGCUAAGGUCCCAAAAUAUAUACUAAGUUGAUUAAACGUGGUUUGAUUGCAUUGACAGCUAGGAUGUUGGCUUGGAAGCAGCCAUUCAUUUAAAGAGUGCGUAACAGCUCACUAGUCGAGCGAUCGAGCGUGGAUAAUAAACGGGCAUUAAGUAUAAUACCGAAGCUAUAACAUCCGUCAUCUGACGGAUGGGUAGGGGAGCAUUUCAUAGACACAGAAGGAGUUGCGUAAGCAGCUCUGGAGUUAAUGAAAAAGCCAAUGUAGGCAUAAGUAACGAUAAUCCAGAUGAAAAAUCUGGACACCGAAAGACUAAGGUUUCCUGAUCAACGCUAAUCGGAUCAGGGUUAGUCGGGUCCUAAGAUGUAUCCAAACGGAAAAGUCAAUGGACAACAGGUUAAUAUUCCUGUACUAGUAUAAAUAGUGAUGAGAGGACGAAGUAGUGAAAGGUCUGCGCGGCAACGGAUGUUCGCGUUAAAGAGCGUAGGUAUAUGAUCAACCGGAAAAUCCGUUGGUUAUGCCGAAACUCGACAGUACCGAGAGUCUCCGGACAAUCGGAUAAUGACCGUAAUCAAACUUCCGAGAAAAUUCUCUAAACUUAUGUUUAUACUACCCGUACCGCAAACCGACACAGGCAGUCGAGAAGAAAAUUCUAAGGUGCUUGAGUGAUCCAUGGCUAAGGAACUCGGCAAAUUGACCCCGUAACUUCGGAAUAAGGGGUACCCCACUUCGGUGGGGCCGCAGUGAAAUGGCCCAGGCGACUGUUUAACAAAAACACAUGGCUAUGCUAAAUCAUUAAGAUGAUGUAUAUGGCCUGACACCUGCCCGGUGCCGGAAGGUUAAGGAGAGAGGUUAGUCCGCAAGGACAAAGCUUUGAACCGAAGCCCCGGUAAACGGCGGCCGUAACUAUAACGGUCCUAAGGUAGCGAAAUUCCUUGUCGGGUAAGUUCCGACCUGCACGAAUGGUGUAACGAUCUGGGUACUGUCUCAGCCAUGAGCUCAGUGAAAUUGUAGUAUCGGUGAAGAUGCCGAUUACCCGCAACGGGACGGAAAGACCCCGUGCACCUUUACUAUAACUUAGCAUUGAUUUUGAAUAAAUGAUGUGUAGGAUAGGUGGGAGACUUUGAAGCGGUGGCGCCAGCUAUCGUGGAGUCGUCCUUGAAAUACCACCCUUCAUUUCUUUGGAGUCUAACUCCGCUUCAGCGGAAGACAUUGCUUGGUGGGUAGUUUGACUGGGGUGGUCGCCUCCAAAAGAGUAACGGAGGCUUUCAAAGGUACCCUCAGCACGCUUGGUAACCGUGCUUUGAGUGUAAUAGCAUAAGGGUGCUUAACUGUGAGACCUACAAGUCGAGCAGAAACGAAAGUUGGAUAUAGUGAUCCGGUGGUUCCGCAUGGAAGGGCCAUCGCUCAUAGGAUAAAAGGUACGCCGGGGAUAACAGGCUGAUCUCCCCCAAGAGCUCACAUCGACGGGGAGGUUUGGCACCUCGAUGUCGGCUCGUCACAUCCUGGGGCUGGAGAAGGUCCCAAGGGUUGAGCUGUUCGCUCAUUAAAGUGGCACGCGAGCUGGGUUCAGAACGUCGUGAGACAGUUCGGUCCCUAUCUGUUGUGGGCGUUUGAAGUUUGAGAGGACCUGACUCUAGUACGAGAGGACCGAGUCGGACGAACCUCUAGUGUACCUGUUGUCGCGCCAGCGGCACCGCAGGGUAGCUAUGUUCGGUUGAGAUAAGCGCUGAAAGCAUCUAAGCACGAAACUCGCUUCAAGAUUAAACUUCAUUAUUAGGGUCGUCAAAGAUUAUGACGUUGAUAGGUUGCAGGUCUAAAGACAGUAAUGUCAAAGCCGAGCAAUACUAAUCACCCGAAGAUUUUUUAC
rnacentral:rRNA from 1 species